rnacentral:lncRNA from 1 species
CUAGAGAUUCCAAAGAAAAUAAACCAUAUGACCAGCUACAGAUCUAGGAUUGUAAUGGGAGGGGACAAAUAACAUAGAGACUUUGAGGGUAGUACUUAUUUAUAAUGGCCCUGUCUUCACUAUGGUAUGGGUUACAUUAAUGUCAAUAGUUGAACGAUGACUUCUGGGCUUAGUACUAUGAAGAAAUGUGGGAAAGAGUAUAAGGAAGAAAACAUAGGUGCAAACGGCCUGCCAUUUGAGAUGAGAACAAGGAUCACAGGAGCCUGGAAAAUCCAGUUUGUAUGACCAGGGAGAAGAAUGGAUUAGAGCAGCCACUAGUCAGUCUCUUCCAAGCAAGAAGGACCACCCCUGAGCUGUUUUCCAGCUGGACAUGCCUGGACCUGUAUUCCACUCCUCUCUAAAAUGCACCUUAUUUUUCUUCAUUAAAUUCUGUUACUUAACCCUUGC